rnacentral:rRNA from 1 species
CAGCCCUUGACAUGUCCUCUAUGGAUUCCAGAGACGGAGUCCUUCACUUCGGGUGGGAGGAACACAGGUGCUGCAUGGCUGUCGUCAGCUCGUGUCGUGAGAUGUUGGGUUAAGUCCCGCAACGAGCGCAACCCUCGCCCUUAGUUGCCAUCAUUUAGUUGGGCACUCUAAGGGGACUGCCGGUGAUAAGCCGGAGGAAGGUGGGGAUGACGUCAAGUCCUCAUGGCCCUUACGGGCUGGGCUACACACGUGCUACAAUGGCGGUGACAGAGGGAUGCAAAGGGGCAACCCUUCGCAAAUCUCAAAAAGCCGUCUCAGUUCGGAUUGGGGUCUGCAACUCGACCCCAUGAAGUUGGAAUCGCCAGUAAUCGCAGAUCAGCACGCUGCGGUGAAUACGUUCCCGGGCCUUGUACACACCGCCCGUCACACCAUGGGAGUUGGCUUUACCUGAAGACGGUGCGCUAACCGCAAGGAAGCAGCCGGCCACGGUAGGGUCAGCGACUGGGGUG